CAUUAAGAUAUAUCAGGGAAGGAUAUUGAACAUAGUACGAACAGAAAAACUAGAGGUGACACUGAACAAUGGCGUGUUUCUACGACAAAAGAUGACUAUGAAGACAAUUUUGUUGAUGUUCACAUUAUGGCGAGUUUAGCAGAAGUGUUUAAGGAGAAGGAACGGUCGAACUGGCUCAAGGCAUGGCUAGCAAUAGACAUUGCAAAAUCUGGCUUGGAGCAUUUAGCUGACAACGAGGCUCAGAAUUUUCACCAGCACAUUUACAACCAAGUAACAUCUACUCUUAAGUCACAAUGGAAUACAUGCAACAUCUGCAACAUGGCAAAUUUACUGCGAAACCAACAGUGUCCAAACAAUAUUUGUGAUAAAGUUUGCCAAGAAAUUAUCAACGAACAUCGGUACAAAAAAUGUUCUUGGAAUAAUACAUCUGCGCAAUUAUGGCAAACGAACUAUUGGGAAAUAGCAAAAUGUUACAUCCAAACAAAUGGAUAUGCUGACAAGAUAUCGACUCAAGAUACAGACUUCAACGGAGUUGUCAGUUUUAUGCUGAAGUCCACACACGCUUUGAUAGCAAGUUUUCUUUUCCAAUAACAAAAGGAAAGCCAACCCACAACAAGCCUGCAUGCCUCCUGUAUAAGGCUCGAGAAGUCCACCAAGCCGUGCGGCACUCUUCAAAAAUGAAAGUCACUGAUGUCGAUCUCCAAGACUAUUUCACAACAUUGAACAACCUGCUGAAAGAUUCAAGAUAUCUCAGCCAAGAUAACGUUGCCAAAAAUGCUGUUGUUAAAAAUUAGCCCAGGUGGUGUAUUAGCGUUAUGUCUUGUCAUUUUACGACUUCCCUUGCUUAUUGUAUACAAAUUAUAACGUAACAUAUUGUGUCCUGCCUUUUUCACCAUUGAAUACUCAUAUCAAACAGAUAAAGCACCAUCACUAUAUCGUUUUGAGCUUAUAUGGGCUCUUACCGCUUAUGGGGAGAUUUUGUGAUCAUUUUUGUAUCAUGUGUACAGAGCCGAUUGUUGUGCGUCGUCAGCAUUUACAUUGUUAACAUUAGUCGCCAUAUUGAGUGACUAAUUUUGUAUAACUUUGACUGAAUAGUUAUGGCUGGUUUGAGGAGCGAGCUUGUUUUGGCAUUAUACAGACUUUAUAUAUCAACAUAACUUGCUCACGAUAUUUAUUAUGAUAUCUCGACAUAAAAAGUAUUGCUACUCUUCUGGAAAACAGGGCUUCCAAGUGGUGGGGCUGUUUAAUUACCAUCAGUCAAGUCAUAAGCUAUUCUCACUACGAAACAUUGUUAACCCUCUGGUAGUAACACCGUUUACCGAAUCAUAAAACACAUUGUUGCAGACAUCUUAAAUCUUGUAAUAUCCAUGCAAAAUUUGAUAAAU